UGAAAAGCGAUUAUGCAAAAAAACAAAAAACAAAUCAUGAACGAAACCAAAAACUGGAAAAAGUGAUUAUGCGAGCACCAAACACCAAGUUGACAAACGCUUAUGCGACGAAUCCAAGCAAGCUUCACGAUGACAUUUCGACGCUCUCACGGCCGUGCAACUCGAAGCUCCAACGAUCAACAUCGUAGAUUCGCCUCACACCGUGCUCAAAAUCAUUGUGUUCCCCUCUCAGCUCAUACUUCGCAUUGUUCUAUCAUCCUCAUUCAAGUCUCAAUUCUAUUCUCUUCGCUAUCAUGUGCGCAAAAGCUAAACAACAAUGUCGAAAGCUAAUCGAGAAAACUCAACGGGUUCUUGUUAUCGGUUUCAAGCCUUCGACAAAAUUGACUCGAAAUAGAGAACCUUCAACCGACACAACAAAUCGAAAGCCAAGAGCCUUUAAUCCGUGUCAAUGAAAUCGGAAUGAGGCUAGCAAUUCGCGUCGAGUAAGGACGUGAAAUCGUGACGCCACACAAGCGAGUUAUGAUAAGUUGAAGCAAUUUACGGGUUCGGCUCUGACGCGGUGGUUCAACAGGAAGGUUCGUCUUCUAGUGUGCGAAUCCAGUUUUUGGUUUCGUCAUUGAUUCUUCUUCACCAUUGCGAAUCCAAAUGGGGCGCGAACGUAUUCAGGAAGUUCGCGCCGAUAGCUUAAACGAGAAAGAAGAGAUUCUCACCGAAUCGUAAUGGCAAGAUGCUCCAAUGCGGCGACUCCAUGGCGAUUGUACGGAUUGAAAUAAUUUCGGUUUGCGGCAUCGAGGCAAUUGGUUGCAGAGUGGAGGUUAUGCAGAAUCCAUUAUUUGCAGAAUGAAGCUUGUAGAAUAGAAAAGAAGAGAGUGAUUGAAGAAGAUGGAAAUUGAAGAAGGUGAAGAAUGAUUCCAAAAAACCGGAGAAGUUUCUGAUGGCACUGUUAUAUAGGAUAGUUUACAACAGAAUCGGGCAGGGUGAAUGUUGGUCAACAGUCCACUUUGUUACAAGAUAAACUGAAAUUUCCCACCCUGAAAUUUCCCACCCGACUCCAAAGUCACUUGUUUAGGAUUGCUUUGGGCUGCCCAUUGAAGUAUAGCAUGGUACCAUAUCGGCUUCUGGUUCUAAACUUGACAAGCCUGUUCGUUAUCCCAAGCCUUGAGUGCCACAAUACGGUCAUUGUGCUUUUCCCGCUCAGCUCAAGUGAUCAUGUGUGCCCAUGCUUCUAGGAGGCUCCUAAGCUCAAUGAAAUGGCUAGAUGAAGAUGAGAACAAGCAUGACAAUGGUCCACAAAGUUCCUAAUAAUCAUAUAUGUCUCCCAAGUAUCUCAAUUUGCCAACUUGAUCAAGAUAACCCAAAGAGCUUGAGGAUUGUUUCCCAAGGAAACCCUAAUUCAAUUGUGCUUUGACUGUGCCUUGCUCAUGAAGCAACCUCAACCUAUGAUCAAAUUCAAUCAAGGGAAGUUAAUUCAUUCAUUAUUUUAUGCAUAUAUGAGCCUAUGUUAGUAUCCUCAAUCAUUCAUUCAUCAAAGAUUUGAAGUUUGACCUUGAGAAGUUGACUAGUCAAGUCAUCUGACUAAACUGAGGAUCACUGAGACACAACUUUUGAUGUGUUUGUUAAAUGAAGAUAACCCCAAGAGAAACAAUGUUCUUAAGAACCAUAUUAACAACGUUCAUGUUCAUAAAAAAUCCAUUUGAAAUUGGGAAGGUCAUCAUUAAUUUCAAAACAUUAUAGGUCAUUUUGACUAAAACCCUAAUUUUGGGUCAACUUCCCAAGGACCUAACUUCCUUAUUUUUUUUAUGUUUUUAAGGUGAGACCAAUUGCAUUGGAAAUUUUAAGAUGUCUAAUUCAAAUGAUAUGCAGGACAAAAUUUCAUAAUUCUAAAAGAAACACAUGUGAUAAUACAAAACAUUAUAUGUCACUUUGGAACAAAACCAUUGAAUUUGAAAAAUGUCCAACUUCAAGUGCCCAUAACUUUCUCAUUGAAAAUCCAAAUGAUGCAAACUUUAACUCCAAAUUGAUCAUAUUGAAAAGAUAUACAACUUUUAUGUUGAAGGUUUUUCCAGUUGAGGAUUUCAUCAUUGAAACAGAAGAGCUUGAAGUUGCUCACUUUUGGCAAAAAAUUUCAAAGGGAACCUAGACAUGUUUUGUACCUCAAACUUCAAAGCUAGUUUUCAUAAUUUUCCAAACUCCAAAUGGAUUUUUGCCCAAAAUAGUUUUUGUUCCUUAUGUCAAGAGCUUUCCAACAAUUACUCACAUGACCAUGUUUGGAUUUUCCACGUGUGAUUUUCGAAGGGCUUAAUGUUUAUGAUCAAUUAUGCAGUUCAUAUUUGAACUUCAUAUGCAAGCAAAUGCCAGGCCUUGUGCACGUCCAAUUCACUCCAAAAUGAUCUCAGCUUGCAAUUCCGUUCACUUUUGGUCCUCACAUGCGCCUGUACAGGCCCAUGCAUGAAGGACCCAAAGUUCAUGCACACAAGCAUUACACCUCCUUGCAUCAAGCUCAGCUAUAAAUACAUGUGCUUGCUCAUUCAAAAACAAACCUCAAGGUGAUUUGAAACCCUACUGAAUUGGAAACCCAACCUCACUCAAAGGAAUUUCAGUUUUCAUUUCUCAAUUUCAAGCUUGAAUUUCAACAUCCUUAGUUGAUCUUCAAGUCUUAAUUCCUUAGCCUUGCAUCAUCAUCACAUCUCCAGAUCAAAUUGGACUCAAAAGCUUGAAGAGACCGUGAUGUUCAAAGCUGCAUUUUAGAGGUAUAUCACUCAACUGUUUUGAUCUGAAUCUUGCUAUACAAUGUGGUGGUCUGAAGUCCUCGAGCAAGAGGCAGGCCAGUGGUGGUCUUAAUUUCAUGAAUCGUACCAUUUCAGUUUGUGCACCUUGAUUUUCAAGCUCAAAUUUCUCAUUAAAUAGAAACAUUGAGGAAGAUCCAAGUUUACAGGGGUGAUGUACAUCACCCCAACUUCAUUUUGGUACCUGGCUUGUUUAUUUUGGUUAAGGUUGAAAACCCUGCGCGUGGUGGCCGAAGUUUGUUCUCUGGCCGGAGAAGAUGGUGGUUUCCACCACCAUCCCCACGUGGGAGCAUCUGAGCCUUUGGAUCUCAUUUAAAUGUUGUAAUCGUGUCCAUUACUUUGGCUGACUUGUUUUAAAUACAUUUGUUGCGCGCUUGACUUUGGAGCAUGGUGCAUCAGUGCUUCUGGACUGCUUGAUAACGCCACGUCAUUUAAUGAACUCAUCCAAGCGCUCCUGAUUUUUUAUAUUUUCUUAUUUUUGUUUUAAUUUCUUUUAAUUCCUUUUAUUUUCAAAAAUUCAUAAAUAUUUUAUUUGAAGUCACAAAAAUAUGAGACC